rnacentral:misc_RNA from 1 species
CCAUUAUCAGCACUAAAUCAGGUCAAAAAAAUAGACCAGAAAUUCAAAUGAAAUCAAAAAAAUAAUUUCUGCAUUAUCUUUUCAACAAGGAUAGGGCUACAAAAUUCACAAUAAUUAUAUAUGUUUUUAAAAAGAAAAAUUACUUUAGCUGAAGCUCUAUCAUCAUUUAUGAUAGGUAAGUUGUUCAAGUUUGCACUUGGAGGGAUACAACUCUUGUACGUGAAUAAUGUGAGCAUAGUGAGAGAAAUAAAUCGCUUCACAUCAUUGGAGCUUGGAAAACUGCUUACCUACAACAUGAAAGAGGAGCUUUAGUAGGCAAAGGCCUUAACACUACAAAUGGUGGGGUUUGGCAUCCUCAGAGAAAGACCGUUGCUCCUCAACUCUGCAUGCACAAGGUUAAGGUAAUUAUUAAGCUUUUGAAUUUAAUUGGAAAGGCUUUAGAGUUACUCUUUUAUUCUCCCAGUAUCUUCCAUGGCGUAUCCUCCAUAUCUUGGAAUCUGAUUCAAGAGUUGCCUUGUCAUGGACACAUAAUUUGGAUGUAGCCCCAUGGCGUUUUUCUUAGACCAUAAACUCCAUGUGCUCCAAAUUAUCUGUCUUGCCCAACAUAUCUUUUUGUCAUGUUCUAAGGGAAGCAAACGCCAUUGCUGAUUUUUUUGCCAAGCAAGGGCUAAAUAGAUCGGAGGACUUUCUGGCUUUUUUCUAAACCUUCUUCCCUUGUAGCUUGGGAACCUCUGUUGGUUUUUAUAUGAUUUUCUAAAUGCAGGGUUAUUGGUUUUCUUUUUUGGGAUGUUGCUAUUAUAAUUUGUGUUUACUUUGCCGAUUUUGAUUGAAGCACUCUUAGGUGCUGCUAUUUUGAUUUGGGAGAUAUUGGCUGUGCUUGUUCGUCUACUUGCUUGGUUGCUUUUCAUGUUGCUGCUGCGAUGUUCUGAGGAAUGUGUUUUUAUUGAUCUUUCUCAUCUGUUUCAGCUCACUUCUCACUACCUGGUGGUUCAAUGCACAUUGAGGUUGUUUGGUUUUAUUGAAUUGUAUUGUAUCUAGGCUGUUCUUUGGCUAGGUUGGCUAUUUGAAUUUCAUGUCUGUACCAUUUUAUUUCAAAUUUUUUCACUUAAUAUUCGCAAUCUUAAAUUGAGCAUGUCGAAGAGGUUUAUUAACUGUAUUUUAAUUGAAUGACGUUUACUAAGUUUUUU